AUCUGUGGCGCUGUGCUUAGAAAAGAAGAGAUGUCAUGAUGUCACUUACCUUUUGUCUCGCCACCGGUCCAGCUCACAUUCAAUUUCCUUUGAUGUCACUUUCAAAGGGUUUUGGGAUAACUCUCGUCUUCAUUUUUUUUUCCUUUUCUUUUUUAUAAGCAUUUCGGAUCGAUACCCACCAUGAUUUUCCUGUUUUUGGUCUCUCUAAAGGGAUUCACACCACGACGCACAAUGGGUUUCUUCUCUUCUGUUUUAAAUCUGGUGCUUAUUUGAUGUGCUGUUCGAAAUUUUCUCCAUGUUCCAGGUUGAAGAACUCUCACCUGGAAGUAAACGGUGAUAUUUUUCGUCUCUGUCAUCAUCUCACACCUCAAUGAAAUCCCUGGCUCGAAGAAAGAGGAGAGGAGAUGCAUGGAUUCGUUGUUUAUUUGAUGUGCUGUUAAGAAAUUUCUCUAUUUUGCAGCUUGAAGUAUUGGUUAUGUGAUUAUACCCAGAGGAACUCCCACCUACAAAAGAGGACUUGAACGUGCUAGAAUGAAGAAAAAAGAAGAAGAGCUGCUAUGUAUCAGUUUAUUUUAUGUGCUGUUAAGAAAACUCUCUACUUUCAAGGUCGAAGUUAUGACAAUUGAUGAUGGCUAAAGAUACUAUGAGGGUGGAAACUCUGUGCUAUAAUGUGUCCUUGUGCCAGGAAAUCACCUUUCCCUAUCCAUUGCCAGAUCUAAAGAUGCAAGAAUUUAUUUGAAAAAAAAAAGUAGCAGGUUAAAAUGAGAUUCUCAUCACAAAUUAUGAUCUCUCCUUUAUCAGGGGAAUGGACAGACAUGGUUGGUUUUUCUCGGCUAUUGGAGCACUGGCUGCCAUUAUCCAAUUGAAAUCUGAAUCUCUCUCCCCGUCUAGUACACACGAUGCUAUCAUAACCAUGUCCGUUGUUGCUGUGCUCGUCCAUAUUGUAAGUAGUGCAUGGGAAGUUAAACUUGCAGCUGGUCACUUCCAAUCAAUUGCUGCUGGCGCCAGUCUUCUGGCUGGAGCUCUCGCCAUUGCUCUGCUACUCAUAAUCCCUGUCCCAAGAAUUUGGUGGUUACUUCUUUCCGCGUGGGUGGUGUUAUUUAUAUGGGUAGCAUAUACUUUACGCGAGGAAUUGUUACAAUUGCGUGAAUCCCUUUGCAAUGCAGUUCGCCAGGCCAAGGAGCCAAAUGCUGAAUCCAGUGAGUUGCCAGUGUAACCUUACAUAUCAAAGACUGAUUGGGGACCCUAUCAAAAUAUUAUGUUGCAAAUACUAUUAUCCAUGCAUCAUUGAAAAUGAUGAUGUUAAAUUCCAAAAAGCCUAUUUUAAGGAUGAAGAAGCACCUGAGUUCCUUCACAA